rnacentral:rRNA from 1 species
GAUGAACGCUGGCGGCGUGCCUAAUACAUGCAAGUCGAGCGAAUGGAUUAAGAGCUUGCUCUUAUGAAGUUAGCGGCGGACGGGUGAGUAACACGUGGGUAACCUGCCCAUAAGACUGGGAUAACUCCGGGAAACCGGGGCUAAUACCGGAUCACAUUUUGAACCGCAUGGUUCGAAAUUGAAAGGCGGCUUCGGCUGUCCCUUAUGGAUGGACCCGCAUCGCAUUAGCUAGUUGGGGAGGUAACGGCUCACCAAGGCAACGAUGCGUAGCCGACCUGAGAGGGUGAUCGGCCACACUGGGACUGAGACACGGCCCAGACUCCUACGGGAGGCAGCAGUAGGGAAUCUUCCGCAAUGGACGAAAGUCUGACGGAGCAACGCCGCGUGAGUGAUGAAGGCUUUCGGGUCGUAAAACUCUGUUGUUAGGGAAGAACAAGUGCUAGUUGAAUAAGCUGGCACCUUGACGGUACCUAACCAGAAAGCCACGGCUAACUACGUGCCAGCAGCCGCCGUAA